rnacentral:rRNA from 1 species
UACGUAGGGUGCGAGCGUUAAUCGGAAUUACUGGGCGUAAAGCGUGCGCAGGCGGUUUGUUAUGUCCGAUGUGAAAGCCCCGGGCUCAACCUGGGAAUUGCAUUGGAAACUAGCGGGCUGGAGUGUGGCAGAGGGGGGUGGAAUUCCACGUGUAGCAGUGAAAUGCGUAGAGAUGUGGAGGAACACCGAUGGCGAAGGCAGCCCCCUGGGCUAACACUGACGCUCAUGCACGAAAGCGUGGGGAGCAAACAGG